GUUUAAUUNGAAGCAACGCGAAGAACCNUNNCCAAAUCUUGACAUCNUCUGACCCCUCUAGAGAUAGAGUUUUCCCCUUCGGGGGACAGAGUGACAGGUGGUGCAUGGUNGUCGUCAGCUCGUGUCGUGAGAUGUUGGGUUAAGUCCCGCAACGAGCGCAACCCUUAAGCUUAGUUGCCAUCAUUAAGUUGGGCACUCUAAGUUGACUGCCGGUGACAAACCGGAGGAAGGUGGGGAUGACGUCAAAUCAUCAUGCCCCUUAUGAUUUGGGCUACACACGUGCUACAAUGGACAAUACAAAGGGUAGCGAAACCGCGAGGUCAAGCAAAUCCCAUAAAGUUGUUCUCAGUUCGGAUUGUAGUCUGCAACUCGACUAUAUGAAGCUGGAAUCGCUAGUAAUCGUAGAUCAGCAUGCUACGGUGAAUACGUUCCCGGGUCUUGUACACNCCGCCCGUCACACCACGAGAGUUUGUAACACCCGAAGCCGGUGGAGUAACCAUU
rnacentral:rRNA from 1 species